rnacentral:lncRNA from 1 species
AACCCCCAUCAUCCAGACUGGGCCCCCAUCAUCCAGACUGGACCCUGUCAUCCAGACUGGACCCCCAUCAUCCAGACUGGGUCCCCGUCAUCCAGACUGGGUCCCCGUCAUCCAGACUGGACCCCAUCAUCCAGACUGGGCCCCCGUCAUCCAGACCGGACCCCGACAUCCAGACUGGACCACAUCAUCCAGACUGGACCCCAUCAUCCAGACUGGGUCCCCAUCAUCCAGACUGGACCACAUCAUCCGGACUGGACCUUGUCAUCCAGACUGGACCCCCAUCAUCCAGACAGGACCCCCAUCAUCCAGACUGGACCCCGUCGUCCAGACGGGGAAAUUGGCCUUCUUUCUGUGUGAUUUUAUUAGCUCAUCUUCGUCAUCUGGGAUUUUGUUGACCUCCAAACAAGCAAUCAUUGUAAAGUUAAGGUAACGCUUUGUCUUUCUAGUACAAUACAAAUAGGCAAUUCUUAGAAAAAAUUGAGGUUGUGGCAUUAGGAAAAGGGUAGAGUUGACGGAGUGAAACAGUGUGUGACUUUGGGAAAUUCAAAUACUGAAUUUAAAAUUAAAGAUGC